UCCUACGGGGGGCAGCAGUGGGGAAUAUUGGGCAAUGGGCGCAAGCCUGACCCAGCAAUGCCGCGUGAAGGAAGAAGGCCCUCGGGUUGUAAACUUCUUUUAUCAGGGACGAAGGAUGUGACGGUACCUGAAGAAGAAGCCCCGGCUAACUACGUGCCAGCAGCCGCGGUAAUACGUAGGGGGCAAGCGUUAUCCGGAUUUACUGGGUGUAAAGGGGGCGCAGACGGCGAUGCAAGCCAGGAGUGAAAGCCCGGGGCCCAACCACGGGACUGCUCUUGG
rnacentral:rRNA from 1 species